rnacentral:rRNA from 1 species
GUCCACGCCCUAAACUAUGUCAACUGGUUGUUGGGGGUUUGACACUCUCAGUAACGAAGCUAACGCGUGAAGUUGACCGCCUGGGGGAGUACGGCCGCAAGGUUAAAACUCAAAGGAAUUGACGGGGACCCGCACAAGCGGUGGAUUAUGUGGAUUAAUUCGAUGCAACGCGAAAAACCUUACCUACCCUUGACAUGUCCUGAAGCCUGGAGAGAUCCGGGUGUGCCCGAAAGGGAACGGGAACACAGGUGCUGCAUGGCUGUCGU